rnacentral:misc_RNA from 1 species
GAUGAAGAACGCAGCGAAAUGCGAUAAUUAAUGUGAAUUGCAGAAUUCAGUGAAUCAUCGAAUCUUUGAACGCACAUUGCGCCCAUUAGUAUUCUAGUGGGCAUGCCUGUUCGAGCGUCAUUAAGUCCACUUAAGCCCUGCUUAGUGUUGGGAGACUGCUCCAGCGGUGCUACCCUGUAGCUACCCUGCAGCUCCUCAAAGACAGCGGCGGAGUUGUGGUAUCCUCUGAGCUUAGUAACUUGUUCUAGCUUUCGAGUACACCACUUCCCCUGCCGUAAAACCCUUAAUUUUUAAUGGUUGACCUCGGAUCAGGUAGGAAUACCCGCUGAACUUAAGCAUAUCAAUAAGCGGAGGA